rnacentral:rRNA from 1 species
UAAAGUUGUUGCAGUUAAAAAGCUUGUAGUUGAAUUUCGGGGUCAGCAAGUUGGUCGUGCCGCUGGUAUGUACUGGCUUUACUGAUUCCUCCUUCUUGCAGAACCGUAUGCCAUUAAUUUGGUGUUGCGGGGAAACAGGACUGUUACUUUGAAAAAAUUAGAGUGUUUAAAGCAGGCUAACGCUUGAAUACAUUAGCAUGGAAUAAUGAAAUAGGACGUUCGAUCCUAUUUUGUUGGUUUCUAGGAUUGACGUAAUGAUUAAUAGGG